UACCAUGGCCGAACCCGAAAUUAGCGACGACUUUGUCCGUGAGUGUCCCUACUAGUGUAAUAAUAGUUUUACGUUAUUUUGUACCAUUUCAUUGCUAACAUCAGCUAUCAGGUUCCCAAACAUAUGAAAGCUAA